rnacentral:rRNA from 1 species
ACGGGUGAGUAACGCGUAGGAAUCUACCCAGAAGAGGGGGACAACCCCGCGAAAGCGGGGCUAAUACCGCAUAAUUUCUGCGGAAAAAAGCAGGGGACCGAAAGGCCUUGCGCUUCUGGAUGAGCCUGCGUCAGAUUAGCUAGUUGGUAGGGUAAUGGCCUACCAAGGCGAUGAUCUGUAGCUGGUCUGAGAGGACGACCAGCCACAUUGGGACUGAGAUACGGCCCAGACUCCUACGGGAGGCAGCAGUGGGGAAUAUUGGACAAUGGGGGCAACCCUGAUCCAGCAAUGCCGCGUGUGUGAAGAAGGCCUGCGGGUUGUAAAGCACUUUCGUUAGGGAGGAAAUGCUUGAGGCUAAUAUCCUCAAGAGUUGACUUAACCUAAAUAAGAAGCACCGGCUAACUCUGUGCCAGCAGCCGCGGUAAUACAGAGGGUGCAAGCGUUAAUCGGAGUUACUGGGCGUAAAGGGUGCGUAGGCGGAUAUUCAAGUCAGUUGUGAAAGCCCCGGGCUUAACCUGGGAACUGCAGUUGAUACUGAAUAUCUUGAGUAUGGUAGAGGAGAGUGGAAUUUCCAGUGU